CCUACGGGAGGCAGCAGUGAGGAAUAUUGGUCAAUGGACGAGAGUCUGAACCAGCCAAGUAGCGUGAAGGAUGACUGCCCUAUGGGUUGUAAACUUCUUUUAUAAAGGAAUAAAACGAGGCACGUGUGCCUUUUUGCAUGUACUUUAUGAAUAAGGAUCGGCUAACUCCGUGCCAGCAGCCGCGGUAAUACGGAGGAUCCGAGCGUUCUCCGGAUUUAUUGGGUUUAAAGGGUGCGCAGGGGGAGGCACAAGUCAGCGGUAAAAUCGGGGGGCUCAACCUCGCUUCGCAGUUGAAACUGUGUCCCUUGAGUGCGGUAAGGGUAGGCGGAAUGCGUGGUGUAGCGGUGAAAUGCAUAGAUAUCACGAAGAACUCCGAUCGCGAAGGCAGCCUACCGGCCCGCAACUGACGCUGAUGCUCGAAAGCGUGGGUAUCGAACAGGAUUAGAUACCCUAGUAGUC
rnacentral:rRNA from 1 species